rnacentral:tRNA from 1 species
GGGUCGUUAGCUCAGUCGGUAGAGCAGUUGGCUUUUAACCAAUUGGUCGAUGGUUCGAGUCCAUCACGACCCA